rnacentral:misc_RNA from 1 species
AUGAACUAUAUGAGUUGCGAACCAAGGCGGUAGCCAAGCUCCAUGAAUCUCUGUGAGCUCUUUCACCUUUGAUGUUGCUUCUAACUGUGCCCUCAUCAACUCUUCCUCAGCUACUUUAAGAGCUCGUUCGGUUUUCUGAAUUCUUUGCUUUUGCUCAUCAUUAGUCUUCAAAAGCGCUUCUAGCUUCAAGUUUAGCUCCUGCAGUUUCUGCUCCGCUUCACUGGCCCGGGCCUCCAAAGCAUCUUUCUUCAUAUUUUGUGCAUUAAUCUCCUCUUUUAGCUUCUCAACCUGCUUCUCAAGCUCGCCGGCUCGUACAUAAGCAUCCCCCACAAGCUCCUUCGCCUUCACCGCCCCUUUCUUCUGAAUCGCCUCGAUCUCACCCUGCAGCAAGCCGAUGCUCGCCGACUUCUCCUCUAUAACCUUCUCCAG